GACGAACGCUGGCGGCGUGCCUAAUACAUGCAAGUCGAACGAACUCUGGUAUUGAUUGGUGCUUGCAUCAUGAUUUACAUUUGAGUGAGUGGCGAACUGGUGAGUAACACGUGGGAAACCUGCCCAGAAGCGGGGGAUAACACCUGGAAACAGAUGCUAAUACCGCAUAACAACUUGGACCGCAUGGUCCGAGUUUGAAAGAUGGCUUCGGCUAUCACUUUUGGAUGGUCCCGCGGCGUAUUAGCUAGAUGGUGNGGNAACGGCUCACCAUGGCAAUGAUACGUAGCCGACCUGAGAGGGUAAUCGGCCACAUUGGGACUGAGACACGGCCCAAACUCCUACGGGAGGCAGCAGUAGGGAAUCUUCCACAAUGGACGAAAGUCUGAUGGAGCAACGCCGCGUGAGUGAAGAAGGGUUUCGGCUCGUAAAACUCUGUUGUUNAAGAAGAACAUAUCUGAGAGUAACUGUUCAGGUAUUGACGGUAUUUAACCAGAAAGCCACGGCUAACUACGUGCCAGCAGCCGCGGUAAUACGUAGGUGGCAAGCGUUGUCCGGAUUUAUUGGGCGUAAAGCGAGCGCAGGCGGUUUUUUAAGUCUGAUGUGAAAGCCUUCGGCUCAACCGAAGAAGUGCAUCGGAAACUGGGAAACUUGAGUGCAGAAGAGGACAGUGGAACUCCAUGUGUAGCGGUGAAAUGCGUAGAUAUAUGGAAGAACACCAGUGGCGAAGGCGGCUGUCUGGUCUGUAACUGACGCUGAGGCUCGAAAGUAUGGGUAGCAAACAGGAUUAGAUACCCUGGUAGUCCAUACCGUAAACGAUGAAUGCUAAGUGUUGGAGGGUUUCCGCCCUUCAGUGCUGCAGCUAACGCAUUAAGCAUUCCGCCUGGGGAGUACGGCCGCAAGGCUGAAACUCAAAGGAAUUGACGGGGGCCCGCACAAGCGGUGGAGCAUGUGGUUUAAUUCGAAGCUACGCGAAGAACCUUACCAGGUCUUGACAUACUAUGCAAAUCUAAGAGAUUAGACGUUCCCUUCGGGGACAUGGAUACAGGUGGUGCAUGGUUGUCGUCAGCUCGUGUCGUGAGAUGUUGGGUUAAGUCCCGCAACGAGCGCAACCCUUAUUAUCAGUUGCCAGCAUUAAGUUGGGCACUCUGGUGAGACUGCCGGUGACAAACCGGAGGAAGGUGGGGAUGACGUCAAAUCAUCAUGCCCCUUAUGACCUGGGCUACACACGUGCUACAAUGGAUGGUACAACGAGUUGCGAACUCGCGAGAGUAAGCUAAUCUCUUAAAGCCAUUCUCAGUUCGGAUUGUAGGCUGCAACUCGCCUACAUGAAGUCGGAAUCGCUAGUAAUCGCGGAUCAGCAUGCCGCGGUGAAUACGUUCCCGGGCCUUGUACACACCGCCCGUCACACCAUGAGAGUUUGUAACACCCAAAGUCGGUGGGGUAACCUUUUAGGAACCAGCCGCCUAAGGUGGGACAGAUGAUUAGGGUGAAG
rnacentral:rRNA from 1 species